UACGAAGGGUGCAAGCGUUAAUCGGAAUUACUGGGCGUAAAGCGUGCGUAGGCGGUUUCUUAAGUCUGCUGUGAAAUCCCCGGGCUCAACCUGGGAAUGGCAGUGGAUACUGGGAGGCUAGAGUGUGUCAGAGGAUGGUGGAAUUCCCGGUGUAGCGGUGAAAUGCGUAGAUAUCAGGAGGAACAUCCGUGGCGAAGGCGGCCACCUGGACCAGUACUGACACUGAGGCACGAAAGCGUGGGGAGCAAACAGG
rnacentral:rRNA from 1 species